AGUGAACGCUGGCAGUAGGCCUAACACAUGCAAGUCGAACGGCAGCACAGUAAGAGCUUGCUCUUACGGGUGGCGAGUGGCGGACGGGUGAGGAAUACAUCGGAAUCUACUUUCUCGUGGGGGAUAACGUAGGGAAACUUACGCUAAUACCGCAUACGACCUACGGGUGAAAGCAGGGGAUCUUCGGACCUUGCGCGAUUGAAUGAGCCGAUGUCGGAUUAGCUAGUUGGCGGGGUAAAGGCCCACCAAGGCGACGAUCCGUAGCUGGUCUGAGAGGAUGAUCAGCCACACUGGAACUGAGACACGGUCCAGACUCCUACGGGAGGCAGCAGUGGGGAAUAUUGGACAAUGGGCGCAAGCCUGAUCCAGCCAUACCGCGUGGGUGAAGAAGGCCUUCGGGUUGUAAAGCCCUUUUGUUGGGAAAGAAAAGCAGCAGGUUAAUACCCCGCUGUUCUGACGGUACCCAAAGAAUAAGCACCGGCUAACUUCGUG
rnacentral:rRNA from 1 species